CGCUGCCUUUGUCUUGACGUGCGGUUUGUGCACGUGCCUGUGUGUGUGUGUGUGCGUUUCCGUGUAUGCAUGUCUGCAGGCUGCUUGGCACACAUGCUUGGCACACAUGACUAACUGGUGCGACAGGCCUGCUUUUAUAGUAGUCAGAUUUAUUUAUUUAGCUAACUAUCAACCUUCCUCACACAAAUAUGAACGAAAAUGGUUGAAUAUGUGCUUUUUGAGCAUUUUGUUUCUAUGUAGUUGGCCUUGCGUAUGAUUCCCAUGCUGGGGAAAAGUGUGCGUCUGAAAGCAGUGGUGGUUGAGUGGGCAGCCCCCUGCCUCCCCCCCCCGGCGCGCGGUGCAGACAGAUGGCUGUGGCGGCGGCAGCAGCCCCUCGUGUACUAACAGGAGUUGGGCUCCACUUCCCCAUUCCAUCUUGACGUUGCUCAAUCCAGUGCGGCGCUGGAUGCCACCGGAGAGCUGGAAGCGCGGCAUUCAUUAACAGCCUAGCGUGCGGGGGAGGGGGAGGCAGAGCAACGCGGGGCUUCCCCGUAUUUACAGCAACGGCACUUUUAUAGGCCUUCUUCUUUGGCGAAAUGACAUGGUUGUUCGGCUACGUUUUUUUAUGUCGAGAGGGCGAGGAACGUACGUGUGUGCGAGCGCGCGCACACACACACACACACACACACACACACACACACACACACACACACACACACACACACACACACACACACACACACACACACACACACACACACACACACACACACACACACACACACACACACACACACACCAGACACAC